rnacentral:rRNA from 1 species
GACGAACGCUGGCGGCGUGCUUAACACAUGCAAGUCGAACGGAAAGGCCCUGCUUUUGUGGGGUGCUCGAGUGGCGAACGGGUGAGUAACACGUGAGUAACCUGCCCUUGACUUUGGGAUAACUUCAGGAAACUGGGGCUAAUACCGGAUAGGAGCUCCUGCUGCAUGGUGGGGGUUGGAAAGUUUCGGCGGUUGGGGAUGGACUCGCGGCUUAUCAGCUUGUUGGUGGGGUAGCGGCUUACCAAGGCUUUGACGGGUAGCCGGCCUGAGAGGGUGACCGGCCACAGUGGGACUGAGAUACGGCCCGGACUCCUACGGGAGGCAGCAGUGGGGAAUAUUGCACAAUGGGCGGAAGCCUGAUGCAGCAACGCCGCGUGCGGGAUGACGGCCUUCGGGUUGUAAACCGCUUUCGCCUGUGACGAAGCGUGAGUGACGGUAAUGGGUAAAGAAGCACCGGCUAACUACGUG